GUCAAAGCGUUCAUUAAAGUCGAGUUGGCUUAGGGAUACGUUCGUUGGGUAGGGGAGCGUUCUGUAAGCCUGUGAAGGUGUGUCGUGAGGCAUGCUGGAGGUAUCAGAAGUGCGAAUGCUGACAUAAGUAACGAUAAAGCGGGUGAAAAGCCCGCUCGCCGGAAGACCAAGGGUUCCUGUCCAACGUUAAUCGGGGCAGGGUGAGUCGACCCCUAAGGCGAGGCCGAAAGGCGUAGUCGAUGGGAAACGGGUUAAUAUUCCCGUACUUGGUGUUACUGCGAAGGGGGGACGGAGAAGGCUAUGUUGGCCGGGCGACGGUUGUCCCGGUUUAAGCGUGUAGGUGUGUGUUCCAGGUAAAUCCGGUUCACUUUAACACUGAGGCGUGACGACGAGGCACUACGGUGCUGAAGCAACAAAUGCCCUGCUUCCAGGAAAAGCCUCUAAGCAUCAGGUAACACGAAAUCGUACCCCAAACCGACACAGGUGGUCAGGUAGAGAAUACCAAGGCGCUUGAGAGAACUCGGGUGAAGGAACUAGGCAAAAUGGUGCCGUAACUUCGGGAGAAGGCACGCUGACACGUAGGUGAAGUGAUUUACUCAUGGAGCUGAAGUCAGUCGAAGAUACCAGCUGGCUGCAACUGUUUAUUAAAAACACAGCACUGUGCAAACACGAAAGUGGACGUAUACGGUGUGACGCCUGCCCGGUGCCGGAAGGUUAAUUGAUGGGGUCAGCGUAAGCGAAGC
rnacentral:rRNA from 1 species